rnacentral:pre_miRNA from 1 species
CAAAUAGUCCCUCCGUCCGGAAAUACUUGUCAUCAAAAUGGAUAAAAGGAAAUGUAUCUAGACGUAUUUUAGUUUUAGAUACAUCUCUUUUUAUCCAUUUUGAUGACAAGUAUUUUCGGACGGAGGGAGUAGAAA